AGGAUAAUAGUUAAUACAUAACAUUUAAGUUGCAUUUAAAAAUUUUGAUCAUAUCAAUUAUCUUAA
rnacentral:tRNA from 1 species